rnacentral:tRNA from 1 species
GCCAACGUAGCUCAGAUGGAAGAGCAUACGCUUCAUACGCGUAAGCGCCCUGGUUCGAAACCAGGCGUUGGCACAA